CCGGUACCGGGCUGAGGAGCUCGGCGGGGUCCCGGUGGUGGGUGGUGACACACCGGGGGUGGGGACGGUCCCGGUACCGGAGUGCGGGGACCACCGGCCCCGAACCCCGCGCUUUCUGGGGGGCCCGGACGGGGCUCCGGAGGGUCCCGGUCCCUUUCCAGCACCGGGACUGACACCGGAAGCUGAUGUCACCGGCGGGAACCGGCGCUGAGUCACGGCGGGAGCACGGGGACCGGAGGGGGGGGCGGUUCCCACGCCCUCGGGGUCAUUCAUUCAUUCAUUCAUUCAUUUAUUCAUUCAUUCGUGCAGGCCCCGCCCCCUCCGGUGUCCCCGUCCGGUGUCCCCGCUGGCAGCGGGCACGGCACGGCUCGGGAGUCCCGGCCGGGCUGUCCCAGGGUCCCGUUCCCGGUGUCCUGGUCCCGGUGUCCCGGUCCCGGUCCCGGUGUUCUGUUCGGGCUCCCUACGGUGCCCCUGAGUCCCGUUCCCGGUGUCCCGGUCCCGGUGUCCCAGCCAGGCUCUCAGGAGGUCCCGGGGGUCCUGGAAGUCCCAGCCCCGUUCCCGGGGGUCCCGGCCGGGCUCUCGGGGAGUUCCCAGCCCCAUUACCGGGGUCCUGGGGGUCCCAACCGGGUUCUCGGGGGGUUCCCGGCCCCAUUACCGGGGUCCUGGGGUUCCCAGCCCCGUUCCCGNCGCCGCGCUCCCGGCGCUCACCUGCGCGGCCCCGGCGGCCGCGGGGCUCCCGAAGGAGUCGAGCGGCGACAGGCUCCGGUUGCUCCGUAAAAAGUCCCGACGCGCCCGUCCCGGCUUCCAAAGUUGUCCGGUACAAAGCCCCCCGGUGCGCCCGUGCCUGGCUCCGGUUCGCCGCUACAAGCCCCGGUACAUCCGUCCCAAGAUCCCCGACACAAAGUUCCGCUCGGCCGCCGCAAGCUCCGGUAAAUCCCUUGCCAGGCUCCGGCACGUCCGCUCCGAGCCCCGGUGACGCUCCCGCCGCUCCCCCGGUCUCCGGUUUUAUGAAUGAACUGCUCACGGCAGCCCCGCCGCUUUAUACGGCGGGGCCCCGCCCCCCUUCGCUGACGUCACGGCAGCCGCCGCCGCUGCUCCGGGACCCCCGGGACCCCCCCGAGACUGCCCGGACCCCGCAGCCGCCGUGGCCUCGGUCGCCGCCGCCGUUUGAGGCUCCGGGAGCCGCCGCCGCCGUUAAGAGGCCCCUGGGCGGGCCGGGAGCGGGGGGGAUCCCUGUCCCCGCCCCCCGGAGUUCCUGUGACGCAAUUAGCCAUAUAUGGGCUUGUCUGGAGUGUUUGUUUGGUAUCCUAGCAAUGACGUCACAGGGAUUCCCUCCGCCGCCGCCGCCGCCGCCGCCGCCGCCGCCGCCCGGGCGCGUAUUAAUAGAAACGGGACCGAGCGCGGUUCUAGAAACGGCCUGAACCGUCCGGGCCGA
rnacentral:lncRNA from 1 species